AGCGAACGCUGGCGGCAUGCCUAACACAUGCAAGUCGCACGGGGGGGCUUCGGCCUCCCAGUGGCGGACGGGUGAGGAACGCGUAGGGACCUGUCGAGGGGUGGGGGAUAACCGCGGGAAACUGCGGCUAAUACCGCAUGACGCCGCGGCGUGACAGCCGGGGCCAAAGGCGAAAGCCGCCCGCCGAGGGGCCUGCGUCCGAUUAGCUGGUUGGCGGGGUAGCGGCCCACCAAGGCGUCGAUCGGUAGCUGGUCUGAGAGGGUGAUCAGCCACACCGGGACUGAGACACGGCCCGGACUCCUACGGGAGGCAGCAGUGGGGAAUAUUGGACAAUGGGCGCAAGCCUGAUCCAGCAAUGCCGCGUGGGUGAAGAAGGUCUUCGGAUUGCAAAGCCCUUUCGGCGGGGACGAUGGUGACGGUACCCGCAGAAGAAGCCCCGGCUAACUUCGUG
rnacentral:rRNA from 1 species